rnacentral:rRNA from 1 species
AGAGUUUGAUCCUGGCUCAGAUUGAACGCUGGCGGAAUGCUUUACACAUGCAAGUCGAACGGCAGCACGGGUGCUUGCACCUGGUGGCGAGUGGCGAACGGGUGAGUAAUGCGUCGGAACGUACCGAGUAAUGGGGGAUAACGCAGCGAAAGUUGUGCUAAUACCGCAUACGCCCUGAGGGGGAAAGUGGGGGACCGCAAGGCCUCACGUUAUUCGAGCGGCCGACGUCUGAUUAGCUAGUUGGUGGGGUAAAGGCCUACCAAGGCGACGAUCAGUAGCGGGUCUGAGAGGAUGAUCCGCCACACUGGGACUGAGACACGGCCCAGACUCCUACGGGAGGCAGCAGUGGGGAAUUUUGGACAAUGGGGGCAACCCUGAUCCAGCCAUUCCGCGUGAGUGAAGAAGGCCUUCGGGUUGUAAA